rnacentral:rRNA from 1 species
GACGAACGCUGGCGGCGUGCUUAACGCAUGCAAGUCGAACGAUGAAGCCGGAGCUUGCUCUGGUGAAUUAGUGGCGAACGGGUGAGUAACACGUGAGUAACCUGCCCUUGACUCUGGGAUAACUGCGGGAAACUGUAGCUAAUACCGAAUACGACCCUCGGAGGCAUCUCCUGGGGGUGGAAAGAAUUUCGGUCAAGGAUGGACUCGCGGCCUAUCAGCUAGUUGGUGAGGUAAAGGCUCACCAAGGCGACGACGGGUAGCCGGCCUGAGAGGGUGACCGGCCACACUGGGACUGAGACACGGCCCAGACUCCUACGGGAGGCAGCAGUGGGGAAUAUUGCACAAUGGGCGCAAGCCUGAUACAGCAACGCCGCGUGAGGGAUGACGGCCUUCGGGUUGUAAACCCCUUUUAGCAGGGAAGAAGCGAAAGUGACGGUACCUGCAGAAAAAGCACCGGCUAACUACGUGCCAGCAGCCGCCGUAA